GACGAACGCUGGCGGCGUGCUUAACACAUGCAAGUCGAACGGAAAGGCCCUGCUUUUGUGGGGUGCUCGAGUGGCGAACGGGUGAGUAACACGUGAGUAACCUGCCCUUGACUUUGGGAUAACUUCAGGAAACUGGGGCUAAUACCGGAUAGGAGCUUCUGCUGCCUGGUGGGGGUUGGAAAGUUUCGGCGGUUGGGGAUGGACUCGCGGCUUAUCAGCUUGUUGGUGGGGUAGUGGCUUACCAAGGCUUUGACGGGUCGCCGGCCUGAGAGGGUGACCGGCCACAUUGGGACUGAGAGACGGCCCAGACUCCUACGGGAGGCGGCAGUGGGGAAUAUUGCACAAUGGGCGGAAGCCUGAUGCAGCAACGCCGCGUGCGGGAUGACGGCCUUCGGGUUGUAAACCGCUUUCGCCUGUGACGAAGCGUGAGUGACGGUAAUGGGUAAAGAAGCACCGGCUAACUACGUG
rnacentral:rRNA from 1 species